rnacentral:ncRNA from 1 species
AUGAAUACAAGGGGAGAGCUUACAUAGAUUCCAUAUAGUAAUGAGUCAAACUAUGUAACGCCGAAGGAGCAAGCGAAAGCGAAUCUCUCAGGCAAACAGACUCUUGUAGGACG